AGACAGUCGCGCGGGGACCAUCGAGAACAAGGAGUGCUGUUUCGAAGUAGCGGCUAGAGGGGCCCCCUGCCUCCGCCCCCGCCCUUCCGAGGAUUCCUGGAGUCCACUCACCCCUCCCCACCACUCCAGUAGCGGCGGGAGCAGCAGCGUUAGGCCGGGGUGUGGCUGCACCUCUGCGAAGGCUGUCGUGCCCCGUGCAGCUGCGGCGUUCGGGUGGGGGAGGGGAGGCUCACACCCUGCGGCGGCUUAAGCCUGGAUUUACGCACUGGAGGAGGGAAUUAGCCCUGAGAUGUCAGCCCUGUGCCCCUGGCGCUGUCCACCCGGACGCCCGCGGAGCGCCAGGCGCCGCAGCGGACCGCGCGCGCACUGAUUGCCGCAGCUACUCUCCCUGCCGUCGCCGCCCGGGACCGGGUGACAUUGAGGUUUUCGUCUAUCGCCGCUGGGCCGAUAGGGCUUCUUUUUAAGAUUUGGCUUUCCAAGUAAGAUUUUUGUUUGCCUGCUUUUCUCCUGGAAUUUUUUUGUUUUUGGUCGAAGAAGCAGGUAACUUGCAUAUCUUAAGGAAAACAUUGUUUUUGCUUUGCUUUUGUUGUUUAAAGAUCCUAAAACGUACCGUGAUUCCUUUACGUUACUAAUAAUUGGAAAGUGUGUUAAAUCAAGGGUUCGCUUAAUGUUCUUUAGCCUUUGUACAUAGAAUAUAUAAAUGUCGUGAGUCAUCUUUACGAGGUUUAUGAGUUUGUGUUCGGGUUUGGCUUUUUUGUUGUGUGUGCGUGGUUUUUUUUUUUCUUUUCUUGUAACACCGUUAGGCGUUUCAUUAAGGUGUAUAAAAAGUAAUUUUAUACACCUAUUAAAAAUUCCCGCUGCCUCGGCUGGAGACUG
rnacentral:lncRNA from 1 species